UGGGGGGAAAGUAAGUUCAUUUCAAUACAUAAAAGUCAAUUUAAAAACAUUUUUAUAAAAAAGUAAAUUCAUUAAAAACAAGUUCAUUUAAAAUGUUCAUUUAAAAUAAAUUUUAAUACAUGCAUUAUUCUAAUAAUAUAUAAUAAAUAAUUUCUUAAUAAUAAAUACAUUUAACAUACAAAUAAAUAAGUUAUUUAAAUACAUUAUAACACAAAUCACUAAAAAAAAAAUUUAAUAAAUACAUACAAUUAUUAUUAUUAUUAUUUUUUUUUUAAUUAUUCCGGGAGGCAUCAGAUAUACUGUAGAAAACAAACAUAUGACAAAUUAGAUUUGUUAGUUGCAUGAUGAUCACAUCAAUCAAGUUAACAGUAUGAUAAACAACAGAGGUGCCCAAACUCAGUCCUGGAGGACCAGUGUCCUGUAGAGUUUAGACAAAUAAACACACCUGAACCAGCUUAUCAAGCUCUUACUAGGCAUACUACAAAACUUCCCAGCAUGUGUGUUGAGGCAAGAAUGGAGCUAAACUCUGCAGGACACCGGCCCUUCAGGACCUCUGCCCUAAACCCAAUGUGUGCAAAACACUAAAUUUGAAUAAAAACAUGUUUUGGCUCAUUUAUAAGCCCUUUUAACUAGUGUUCUCACAACUUGGUUGUCAUGAUAUUUCCCUAUACAAGUGAGAACAUUUGGCCCUCAAACAAUUACAAUCAAACCUGUAUAUAUACACACACAACCACACACAGGGAGGGAGGGAGAGAGACAGAGAGAGAGGAAGUUUACCCUCUUGUUACUAUGCGCCUCGGUGACGUCAUCUGAUUGGACCACUGCCAAGUUUAAGACCACUGGCCCACUGACCCCCUCUCACUCGACUCACUGACUACUCUGCAGCAGCAACAACCACAUAUUGUCUGAGCAUCACAAUGGCAACAUGCAGUCCAUACAGCCGUCCGGAGCCACUGAAAUGUAAAUGCGUUGCCACACGUGUCACAAGAAAGGCAGUAGCCUAUGUAAAGUGUGGAGACAAAAUUGAAGUAGAGCAACACAGAUUUACGGCAUUCAGUGUUGUAACAGAUGGAAAUAACACUUACAUUUCAUCGAAGAAUGGUGAGUAUAGCAGGAACAACUGUGACCCACUGAUUAAACAACUGUAAAAUCAACAGAUCAACAACAAAAAAAAAAAAAAAAAAAAGAUCAAUCACUGAAAAACUCCAAAGAGUGCAGUUUUAACAGUCCAUUAUAAUUGCUGCUUGUCACUAAGAUCUUAGGAUAAAAGCCAAAUGUUGUGGCCUCAACAGACAUUUAUCAAAAACUAUACUAUAUAUAUAUAUAUAUAAGUAAAACUUUGGUCAUAAUUAACAGCUCUAAAUGAGCAGUGCAUGUCUGUACAUCAUUUACACACAACAAUUCAAUGUUACAACACAGAUCAGACAAGGCCACUGAAACUUUAG
ensembl:lncRNA